UCGGGGAAUCAGGGUUCGAUUCCGGAGAGGGAGCCUGAGAAACGGCUACCACAUCCAAGGAAGGCAGCAGGCGCGCAAAUUACCCAUUCCCGACGCGGGGAGGUAGUGACGAAAAAUAACAAUGCAGGACUCGUUCGAGGCCCUGUAAUUGGAAUGAGUACACUUUAAAAGCUUUAACGAGUAUCCAUUGGAGGGCAAGUCUGGUGCCAGCAGCCGCGGUAAUUCCAGCUCCAAAAGUAUAUAUUUAAGUUGUUGCGGUUAAAAAGCUCGUAGUUGGAUUUUGGGCGCAGGCGGCCGGUCCGUCGCAAGGCGUGUACUGGACGUCCUGGCCUUCCCUCCGGUUCUCCGCCGGUGCUCUUGACUGAGUGUCGGCGGCGGCCGGAACGUUUACUUUGAAAAAAUUAGAGUGUUCAAAGCAGGCUCUCGAGCCUGGAUAAUGGUGCAUGGAAUAAUGGAAUAGGACCUCGGUUCUAUUUUGUUGGUUUUCGGAGCGCGAGGUAAUGAUUAAGAGGGACAGACGGGGGCAUUCGUACUGUGCCGUUAGAGGUGAAAUUCUUGGAUCGGCGCAAGACGAACGACUGCGAAAGCAUUUGCCAAGAAUGUUUUCUUUAAUCAAGAGCGAAAGUCAGAGGUUCGAAGACGAUCAGAUACCGUCCUAGUUCUGACUAUAAACGAUGCCAACUAACGAUCGGGGGGCG
rnacentral:ncRNA from 1 species